rnacentral:rRNA from 1 species
UACGGAGGAGGCAAGCGUUAUCCGGAAUUAUUGGGCGUAAAGCGUCCGCAGGUGGCACUUCAAGUCUGUCGUCAAAGACUGGGGCUUAACCCUGGAAAGGCGGUGGAAACUGAAGCGCUAGAGUGCGGUAGGGGUAGAGGGAAUUCCCGGUGUAGCGGUGAAAUGCGCAGAGAUCGGGAAGAACAUCGGUGGCGAAAGCGCUCUGCUGGACUGCAACUGACACUCAGGGACGAAAGCUAGGGGAGCGAAUGGG